CCUACGGGUGGCUGCAGUGGGGAAUAUUGGACAAUGGGGGGAACCCUGAUCCAGCCAUGCCGCGUGUGUGAAGAAGGCCCUCGGGUGGUAAAGCACUUUCAGUGAGGAAGAACGCCUGGUGGUUAAUACCCAUCAGGAAAGACAUCACUCACAGAAGAAGCACCGGCUAACUCCGUGCCAGCAGCCGCGGUAAUACGGAGGGUGCGAGCGUUAAUCGGAAUUACUGGGCGUAAAGCGCGCGUAGGUGGCUUGAUAAGCCGGUUGUGAAAGCCCCGGGCUCAACCUGGGAACGGCAUCCGGAACUGUCAAGCUAGAGUGCAGGAGAGGAAGGUAGAAUUCCCGGUGUAGCGGUGAAAUGCGUAGAGAUCGGGAGGAAUACCAGUGGCGAAGGCGGCCUUCUGGACUGACACUGACACUGAGGUGCGAAAGCGUGGGUAGCAAACAGGAUUAGAUACCCGAGUAGUC
rnacentral:rRNA from 1 species